rnacentral:rRNA from 1 species
GACGAACGCUGGCGGCGUGCUUAACACAUGCAAGUCGAACGGAAAGGCCCUGCUUUUGUGGGGUGCUCGAGUGGCGAACGGGUGAGUAACACGUGAGUAACCUGCCCUUGACUUUGGGAUAACUUCAGGAAACUGGGGCUCAUACCGGAUAGGAGCUCCUGCUGCAUGGUGGGGGUUGGAAAGUUUCGGCGGUUGGGGAUGGACGCGCGGCUUAUCAGCUUGUUGGUGGGGUAGUGGCUUACCAAGGCUUUGACGGGUAGCCGGCCUGAGAGGGUGACCGGCCACAUUGGGACUGCGGUACGGCCCAGACUCCUACGGGAGGCAGCAGUGGGGAAUAUUGCACAAUGGGCGGAAGCCUGAUGCAGCAACGCCGCGUGCGGGAUGACGGCCUUCGGGUUGUAAACCGCUUUCGCCUGUGACGAAGCGUGAGUGACGGUAAUGGGUAAAGAAGCACCGGCUAACUACGUG